UACAGAGGGUGCAAGCGUUAAUCGGAAUUACUGGGCGUAAAGCGUGCGUAGACGGUUAUGUAAGUCAGAUGUGAAAGCCCCGGGCUCAACCUGGGAAUUGCAUUUGAGACUGUGUAGCUAGGGUGCGGAAGAGGGAAGCGGAAUUUCCGGUGUAGCGGUGAAAUGACGUAGAUAUCGGAAGGAACACCAGUGGCGAAAGCGGCUUCCUGGUCCAGCACCGACGUCAGGCACGAAAGCGUGGGGAGCAAACAGG
rnacentral:rRNA from 1 species